UACGGAGGGUGCGAGCGUUAAUCGGAAUUACUGGGCGUAAAGGGUGCGUAGGUGGUUGUAUAAGUUAUCUGUGAAAUCCCUGGGCUUAACCUAGGAAGGUCAGAUAAGACUGUACAACUCGAGUAUGGGAGAGGGUAGUGGAAUUUCCGGUGUAGCGGUGAAAUGCGUAGAGAUCGGAAGGAACACCAGUGGCGAAGGCGGCUACCUGGCCCAAUACUGACACUGAGGCACGAAAGCGUGGGGAGCAAACAGG
rnacentral:rRNA from 1 species